UACGUAGGGUGCGAGCGUUAAUCGGAAUUACUGGGCGUAAAGCGUGCGCAGGCGGUUCGUUGUGUCGGUGGUGAAAGCCCCGGGCUUAACCUGGGAAUGGCCAUGGAAACUGGCGAACUGGAGUGUGGCAGAGGGGGGUGGAAUUCCGCGUGUAGCAGUGAAAUGCGUAGAGAUGCGGAGGAACACCGAUGGCGAAGGCAGCCCCCUGGGCUAGCACUGACGCUCAGGUGCGAAAGCGUGGGGAGCAAACAGG
rnacentral:rRNA from 1 species